UGAGUCGGCCAAGACAAUCGCCGCCACGCAAGUGGGGGAGGAAAGUCCGGGCUCCAUCGGGCGAAGUGCCAGGUAAUGCCUGGGAGGCGCGAGCCUACGGAAAGUGCCACAGAGAAUGAACCGCCUAAGCGCCGCAAGGCGACGGUAAGGGUGAAAAGGUGCGGUAAGAGCGCACCGCGUCACUGGCAACAGUGGCGGCACGGAAAACCCCACUUGGAGCAAGACCAAAUAGGGAAGGACGCCGAAAGGCAACAUGCGGCCCGCAUGCCUUCCGGGUAGGUUGCUUGAGCGUGCCGGCGACGGUACGCCUAGAGGAAUGGUUGUCCACGACAGAACCCGGCUUAACGGCUGACUCGUUAA
rnacentral:RNase_P_RNA from 1 species